GUCUUUACACUCUACACCAAAGAUAUUCAAAUGUAACAACAAUGGUCAUGAUCAUACCAAUCAAUUGUCUAUCUUUGCACUACGUGCCAAAGAUGUUCAACUGUAAAACCAAUGAUCAUGCCAAACAAUAAUCUAUCUUUGCACUACGAGCCAAAGAUAUUCAUUUGUAUCAUUAGUGGUCAUGAUCAUGCCAAACAUAUGUUCAUCUUUGCACUACGAGCC
rnacentral:lncRNA from 1 species